AAUUAUCCAAGAGAAUUGUUUAUAUUAAAAACAGGUGGAGAGUCCUUUGAACCAUGAUUGCCCCAAAAAUUGGAGGAUAAAUAUUAUUUUUGUCAAAACCCUUCUUUGGACAAUCUCGA
rfam:Pteropus vampyrus cont1.280182, whole genome shotgun sequence.